rnacentral:lncRNA from 1 species
ACGUGGGAUUGCACAGUACCAUCCAAUCCAUUAGUCAGUAACGUCGAUGGUCCAUUUCUAACAGUUCCGUCCAAUUGCUAAAGACAAAAAGGCAAAUGUGAGAUACCUUGUAGUACCUUUUGUAGGUUUAGUAGCUUUCUUGUGAAGAAGCGUUUACUGAGUGUGGCAAAUACGGCUUGUUAAAAAUGUAAACUCCCGCUGUCAUUGCAACCCCAAAUGUCACUAACACAACCUGUUUUACCAAUACGGGCUUCCAUCUGUAAACUUUAGAAGAGACAAGGACUCUGAUAAUUUCUUCUGAUGGAGAACAUGUGUGAUAAGAUUGGCUACUUCAGAAGAAGGGUAGCUGCUCAGGGAUCAUAUCCAACCCCUUUAUGUUUGUAGGGAAAUGGCUUCAUCUCUCCCAAUCCGAAGAGGUUGGACCUGAUGCUCGUCCACUGACGCAAGCUUGUCUGUAUGCAAAUGACUAAACUGAUGCUUCUCAAAUUCUGAUGGAACCUAAAGUCUAAAGAUAUUGGACCACCUUCAUUCACAUCUUAACACUACGAGCGUUGUUGGAAGCAUAGUCAAGCAUACACCCAUACUGAUUGAUGCAAGUUAGCAGACUGUGUGAAAGGAAUAGAUGGGUUCAUCAAACACAAUAAAGCACACACCUGUCUGAUGAUCAAUCAGCUUGACAGCAUGUACCAGAUCACAACAGGCAUCAAAAUUCAGAGAACCAUAAGAACAGGUUGGCCGCUGGACAGCCGAGUGAAACGGAGAGGAUUUGAACGAUCCAUUCUCAUCUUACCUACCAGCCUGUUCAGAGGCUUCCAGUCAAGGUACUAAAUAGCGUUUAGCGGUACGGUAGCGGAUUAGUGCCGGUGAAGCGGAUCGCGAAUAGCGGGUGUUAUAGCGGACGUUAAGUCCAAACAACGGAAUUUAAAAAAUAAUCACAAACUUGGAGCAUAACAUCUAGUUUACUUUAAAAAAUUAAAGUAUUUAAGUUGGCCAUUACAAUUUCAUGGUAAGAAUCACAAAUAAAUAGAUAUAAUUAAGAUGUAUAGAUAUAUAUUAACAUUAAAUUCUCAUAUUAAUGAAUUGUCAUCCCAUAAUUCUUCACCAUUACCUAAAUAAUCAUUUUAAAUAUUAUUAUUACUAUUUGAUUCAUAUUCAUAUAUCACUUGAACCAUAAAUGUAGCAAAUAGCAGCUUAACAUUAGCAAUAGUGGUCGCAAUAGCAGUCAAUAGCGAACAAUAGCGAUCGCAAUAAUAGCGAACAAUAGCGAUCGCAAUAAUAGUGCCUUCUGUUUAGCAGCGGACGGCACAUCGUGCGGUCGUACAGUACAUCGGACAAGGUGCUUAAUUGGAAGACAAAGGAUGAAUAAUGGUGUUGAUCCUCACACACCACAGUACAGUACUGUCUACCUGACCAAACUUGGAAAAAUCAUGCAAAAUCAGCCGUACUAAAACAGACAGUUGCACGGGAUUAUUCGGUACCACGGUUACUAAAAUCCAAUACUGAAAUGCUCCAUUUUUUGCAAAUGGGAAAGAUAACAUAUUCAAACAAAUAAAAUUUUAAAUGAGCAAUAUAUAUAUAUAUAUAUAUAGGCCUCCACUGUUCCGUACCUGAAUAUACCCGAGCCCCCCGCCACGCGCCCGACUGCCCCGAGCGCCGCCCGCGGCCGCGCCCAGUUUUUUCCCGAUGGGCCGUGUUCUUGCGUGGGCUUUGCGCUUGCUCAGUGCGCCUCGGGGCACGGGAUAGUUCCGCGCCAGCAGUCGAUGACCGGUGGGACAACGAGGUCGGAGCAGGCUCCUCGGUGUGACGAAAUGGGAGGUGCUAGCUCAAUGACAUGUCGGCCAUAUUUACCAGUCUGGUGGGCCCUGCGUCAGUGAGGAUGUGUUCGUCUGUGCAGUUGGUGAGCGGCCAUUUAUUCCGCACGUCACUCACAAUUUGAUACUCACGUCGGAUCAUAGGGGUGUUUGGGAAACACCUGUUAAAGUUUAACACCUGUCACAUCGGAUGUUUGGAUGCUAAUUAGGAGUACUAAACAUAAGCUAAUUACAAAACUAAUUGCACAGAUGGAGUAUAAUUCGCGAGACGAAUCUAUUAAGCCUAAUUAGUCCAUGAUUUGACAAUGUGGUGCUACAGUAACCAUUUGCUAAUGAUGGAUUAAUUAGGCUUAAUAGAUUCGUCUCGCGAAUUAGCACAAGGUUCUGCAAUUAGUUUUAUAAUUAGCUCAUGUUUAGUCCUCCUAAUUAGCAUCCAAACAUCCGAUGUGACACUGUUAAAGUUUAGCACCUCGUAUCCAAACAACCCCUUAAAUACUGCUAUCUGCGUGCCGCAUCAGAUGGUAGGUGACUCUCAUUUGUUGCUGGACCAAGCAACCCACUGUUCUCAUGUUCUCAGGUAGUGGUAGUACAAUAUUUCCAAUCACGCCAUGUAAUCAAGGGACACAAAUUGAAUAAUAAAUCUAAUUUAUUCUCAAUCUUUUUGAAGAACAAUCUUUUUCCACGUAGUCGUUUCAGCUGUCUUGUGACCUCUUACACAAUAGCAUUUGUAGCCUGCAAUUGAAUCAGGAAAACAAAAUAUUGAAAUUAUACACCUAUCACCUAAAUGAUACGGUCAACACUACAGUUUUGCAUGCCAAAUGAACUGAGUGUGGCAUAAUCACCAAUAUUCACAUGUGCGACCAAAAAAGAAUUGAAUUAUAUGCAUCCUCAUCUCCAUGGUACUGCCACCUGCUGCGGCAUCCUGAUUCAAAAUAAAAUAAAAUUUAUCUCUGCACCAAUGAGUAUUUCCAGUAUUCGAGAAACAACAGUGAUGGCAUUGAUUUGGAGCAAAGAUAAAGACAAACUGAUAAUACACUGGCAUGACAUAUAGCUCUGGGAAAUCAGUAGCAUUCUUAUGGAUAUAAAAUUAUAAACACAGGCAGACAGGCUGGCUUUACUAGGCAAUUAAGCUCGCCUCUGCUGAAGUUUUUGAAGAAAAAUGAGCAGUGCAAAGUUCAGGAAUAAUCUCCAAUUUUACGAAAGAGCUCAAAACUGCAUAUAACCUUGUCAAUGUACUAAAUCUGAGAGUGUAAUUACUGGGAGAUUUUUACAUUACUGGGAGAUUUCAUUGGAGGAUUGCAAUUGGACUAGCGAGAGUGUAUACAUGUCUAAGAAAACAUAAGCUAACAUCUAGGUUGUAUUAUAACACUAGAAGCAUCGUAGAACAUCUGGUUUUCAUCAAUUAGUUCAGACUUAGAAAAAUAGAAACUCAAACCAAAUAUUCUGUCCAGCUCAAUUGAUACUUACAGGUUACAGAAACAAGAAUCCAAUAAUCUGGAUCACAAAUUCACAAUACAAGCUCCGGCACCGACCCAUGAUGCAGAAUCUCAGGGAGCAACUCAAAUCGACUAUAUAGAGUAUGGUUCUGACUUCUGACCAAUCGAAUUCUCCAUUGAACCACACACGUGUAUGCAGAACAAUGAAAGAUCGAGCUGUGACAUAGAGGAAAGGGGAAGGGGACUGAGGAGUUCAACGACCUCACCACUGCCUCCAAUGAAAAGCCACCCGAUAAGAAGGCUGUAGCAGGGAGCUGCCGGACCAGCCCUCGUCGGAUCCGCGCGAGAUCCAGCCAUGGACCUGCAUGAGCGAGCUCCGCGGUGGACCUGCGGGACCUCCAGCCUGACGACCUUGGGACGGAGGGACUGUGGGCAGCAGCGACACCGGCGUCAAGCUCGGGGCAGAGAUGGGCUUGAGCGGGGGUGUAGCUCACACAGCGGCAGCCGCGAUCGAGCGGGGGGAGGAGAGGACCACCUGUGGAGGACGACGAAUCGGCGAAGGACUGGCUCGAAUCGGCGAAGGACAGGCUCAAAUCGGCCGGCGGCACUUGGGCUCGGGAGAUGGAUGGGCGGCAGCGCUGGAGGCCUCGAGCUCCCUUCUCCAGCCACGCUGCGAAUCGGUCGGUGGAUAGGCCUGCUCUACACGAGCAGAGGUCGGGGUGGCGCAGAUCGUCGAUGGAGCGGGCGGCGAAUGCGAGGUCGGCACCGAAGCCAAUAGCCCGCGCAUGACGGCGCUCCUCCGAGGUGCCUGCGGUCUGCCUGCCGCGCGCCCUUCUGUCCUCCACCCGAGCGCUUUCCUUUGCCCUUUCUAGCCUGAUGUGAGCACAAGCGCAGGGGAUCUGUUUGUGUCACCAUCGCAAUCUCAUCUUUGCUAAUGUGCGUAGGAUUCUCCUCGCCCACUGAACGUCAGCACCGCUAGUUUUGGAGAAGUUUUCAGUGACCUGACCCGUCGCAUCCCAUCUCAUGCCGUGUCAGCAACAAACCUGCGUCACCUACUCACCUUUUGCAAACGUUGCUGCGAGAGCGUGUAGAUUCGUGUGCACUGAACCUCGACCGAACUCGUACGUGGCAGUAUGUCCAUCGCGUCGCAUCGAUCGAUGAUCGCUGGCCGUCGUUCGAAGCCAACUGGCUCGACGCCGGGAUCGCGGGCGCCGGCCGAUGGGCCAUGGGAUGGAUGGUCAAGUCAUCGUGGACUUCUCGCUUCACAGUUCACACUGGGACUGGCAGGUGGCGUGCUGGUUCAGAAAAACUCGGGAGUGGAAAUUUAGUCCUGUCACAUCGGAAGUUCGGAUACUAAUUACAAAACUAAUUGCAGAAUCUCUAGGUUAAAUCGCGAGAUGAAUCUAUUAAACCUAAUUAAUCCAUCAUUAGUGAAUGGUUACUGUAGCACCACAUUGUCAAAUCAUGGACUAAUUAGGUUUAAUAGAUUCGUCUCGCGAUUUAGCCUAGAGGUUGUGUAAUUAGUUUUAUAAUUAGUCUAGGUUUAAUACUCAGUGUCAAACAUUCGAUGUGACGGGGGUUAAAAUUUAACCCCUCCUCCCAAACACCCCGAAGAGAGGAAGAACCGGUGUGCCAUCACUCUCCAGCUGCCCAGCCAGAUGCCCAGAUAAGACUGUUUAGGACAGCAAUUUGGAAUAGAAACGAUCAGGGAGACGACAAAAGCUAUACGCGAAUUGUUGUGUAAACGGAAUAUUAGGGGGGCGUUUUCUUCCACUAACUUAUUUUUAGCACGUGUCACAUCGAAUGUUUAGAUACUAAUUAGGAGUAUUAAACGUAGACUAUUUACAAAACUCAUUACAUAAGUGGAGGCUAAACGGCGAGACGAAUCUAUUAAGCCUAAUUAAUCCAUCAUUAGCAAAUGUUUACUGUAGCAACACAUUAUCAAAUCAUGGACNNNNNNNNNNNNNNNNNNNNNNNNNNNNNNNNNNNNNNNNNNNNNNNNNNNNNNNNNNNNNNNNNNNNNNNNNNNNNNNNNNNNNNNNNNNNNNNNNNNNNNNNNNNNNNNNNNNNNNNNNNNNNNNNNNNNNNNNNNNNNNNNNNNNNNNNNNNNNNNNNNNNNNNNNNNNNNNNNNNNNNNNNNNNNNNNNNNNNNNNNNNNNNNNNNNNNNNNNNNNNNNNNNNNNNNNNNNNNNNNNNNNNNNNNNNNNNNNNNNNNNNNNNGUGCCGCACAUUAUCACAUCAUGGACUAAUUAGGCUUAAUAGAUUCGUCUCGCCGUUUAGCCUCCACUUAUGUAAUCUGUUUUGUAAAUAGUCUACGUUUAAUACUCCUAAUUAGUAUCUAAACAUUCGAUGUGACGGGUGCUUAAAUUUAAGUCAGUGAACCAAACCAGGCCGUAGUACCGUAGUGCAGUCUAAUGCCAUAGUGCCAGACUGCCAGCUGGGCUAGCAGAUGACCAGGUUGACUGGGCGACAAAAAGCCUAAAGUGGACUUCCGGGUCAACGUUCUGGUGAAGAACUGUCGGGUUAGAAUUUCAGAUGUACGGAAAUUCAUGUCCAAACAAUGCUCGCUUCUUAAUCAAUGCGCAACGCUAGCUAAUUCAUGUACGGAAAUCCUCAAACUAUCGAACCUAUCUAAGGUCUUUUUCGUUUAGUUGGUCAAAUUGAGAGAUGCAAAAUUACUGUACUGGCACUGUAGCACACUGUAGCGUUUUGUUUGUAUUUGUGAAUUAUUGUCCAAACAUUGACUAAUUAGGCUCAAAAGAUUCGUCUCGCAAAGUACAACAAAACUAUGCAAUUAGUUUUUAAUUUCAUCUACAUUUAGUACUCCAUACAUGUACCGCAAGUUUGAUGUGAUGGAAAAUCUUCUUUUUACCUAGUGCGGAGCAAGCUGCAACUAUAAUCGCUGCAGAUCAGAUCCGGCCACCUAACACCACCACUGCAACAGAGAGAAAGAACCGAAAGCAAGUCCAAAAGGUCAAGUCUGAAGGCUGGCUUUGACUUCAGGACUUUUCUUUAUCAUUUUGUUUUGUCCUGUCCUCCCCUCUGCAGUCCUUUCGUUGUUAUCAAGUCUCAGACGAUACCCCCCUGCUGAUCAUUUCUCUGAUCCUCUCGUUCCUGCUCUUUUUCUCCCCCUUCUUCUUUUUUUGUUAUCAUGUGCUGCAGGGCACGCAAACCAAUGAUAUUGAGAUUUCGGUGCCGUUGGAAUUUAGCACUAUCACAUUAGAUGUUUGAUGCUAAUUAGGAGUAUUAAAUAUAAGCUAAUUAUAAAACUAAUUGCACAGAUGGAGUCCAAUUCGCGAGACGAAUCUAUUAAACCUAAUUAGUCCAUGAUUUGACAAUAUGGUGCUACAAUAACCAUUUGCUAAUGAUGAAUUAAUUAGGCUUAAUAGAUUCAUCUCGCGAAUUAGCAUAGGAGUUCUACAAUUAGUUUUAUAAUUAGCCCAUGUUUAGUCCUCCUAAUUAGCAUCCGAAUAUUCGAUAUGACACGGCUAAAAUUUAGCACAUAGUAUCCAAACACCCCUUUCGUAAAUGCAACGAAACAUUCAAGUAGAAAAAAGCCUGAACCAUUCAGGAAUGCAAGAAACACAGGGUGGUACUUCUCAAAUUCAGUACAGAUGGGUUGAGUAGCAAUCCUGGUGUAUAGACAAUCGAAGACUUGAUCUCACACAAAGCAAAGAGGAAAAUCUCGAUGAGAGAGGUUAUCGGGGUGUUUGUUUCACGAACUAAAGUAAGUCCAUGUCACAUUGAAUAUUUAGAUACUAAUUAGGAGUAUUAAACAUAGACUAAUUAUAAAACCAAUUGCACAAACGGAGGCUAAUUCGCGAGACGAAUCUUUUAAGCCUAAUUAGUCCAUGAUUUGACAAUAAGCCUAAUUAAUCCACGAUUAGCACACGUUUACUGUAGCAUCACAUUGAAAUCAUGGACUAAUUAGGUUUAAAAAAUUCGUCUCGCGAAUUAGGCUCCAUCUAUGCAAUUGAUUUUAUAAUUAACAUAUAAUUAAUACUCCUAAUUAGUAUCUAAACAUUCGAUGUGACAGGAACUAAACUUUACACUAAAGAACAAACAAGCCCCUGAUCAAGUUACGUUAGUAGGUACAGUCAGGAACCUUUGGGUACAGUAGCUACAGUACAUUGAUCCUAAUAAUGGACGGAAAAAGGGAAAUGUUAGCGUCAUGGCUUCAGUUUUUGGCCCUUCAUUCGCGCGCGGUCCUCCUGGACGAGCUGUCCAUGGUCUCCGCCGCCCUUCAUCGGCCGCGCGCGCGGUCGAUCGAUCAAAGCGCUGCCCCUCACCGCGGCAGAGGUUGGGUCUUGGAGGGGUGGAAGCAGCCGAACAGCGCCCCCAGCACGCCCUUGAGCACCUGCCCCCGCUCCGGCACGUACCGCGGGUGCACGCCGGCGGCCGCCGCAGCGCCGCCCGCCUUCCCGCCGACGCAGCCCGGCAUUCUCGCCAGCUUCCUCCCCUCGGCCCUCUCUCCUACGGAGACCGAAACAGAGCUGUGCCGCCGCCGCCGCCUGCCUCUCGCUCGCUCGGCACUGCGAAGAGGUCGGUGCUUCGAGUCUGCUCGGCUGACUGCGUCUGCUAGUGUGAUCUUGGUAUGGUUGGUCGCUUGCUUGCUGAGGCGCUGAGGUGGUUUGCGAUGUGCGUGCUCGGCAGGACGGGGAGUUAGCUGUAUUUAAGCCGCGAGCGCAGGGGCGACUCGGUCCGCGCCGUACUUUGUUUGCUAGCCGCGGGCAGGUUGGUCGCGGGCGCCUCGGCGUCGGCGGACCGGGGCACCGGGCUGUGUUGGCCGCGACCCCGCCUGCCGCCUGCCUGUGGCCUGUGGGCGCGCGGGCGCCGGGGGUCGGGCCGGGCUCACACGGUCAGGCGUGGUGAGGGAGACGCAUCCGGGCCCGUCCGUGGCGGAUGUGGGGAGAGGCAUGGGGGGAUGGUUUUGCGGUUCACCGGUUGGCCAGUCGUUAAACGAGGUCGCGUUUGGAAAAAGGGUACGGGGAAUUCUGCGGAGGUUUGAGUGGAUCAACGCUCGCACCCGGCGGCGGUGACUCGGUAGCCGCGGCGACGUGGCGGUGGCGGGCAUGGGCAGGCCACAGGAUCGGCGCUCGGCUCGCGGCCGCUCCGGCGUCACCUACUUAGCCCGCCUCACUCGCGCCUCGAGCUGCUGGAGGUGAUGAAUUUUCACAGGAAGGCUCCUGAUUUCCUCUGAUAACGUUUUGGAAUUCUUUUGGUAAGGUGCUACUACCAGUAAUGCUUCGAUCGCUGCUGGUCGCCUGCACAGACCAGAUCUGCUGCUGAAUUGGGCCAUUCAUUGACCCUCUCGUCUACGAAAAGGCCGGAAUAAGUUGGGCCUCUUGGUAUGGCCUAAAUUCGGUGUUCUUUUUUGCGUCGACGAGACUUGCUGUGUGGGCUAAACAAAAGGGUACUGCAGCCCAGAUUCUGAUGCCGGCCGAGCCCGCGUUCCCAGCUUGAAUGCAUCAACCCAGCCCACCCAUAAGGCCCAUAUCCUCGAUACGUCUACGGCACUACGGCAGUACCAAGCUCAAACUGAGACACCUAAAAUCUUCUCAAACUGAGAUGGAGGUUGCAAAUCCUGAUGAAAAAUAUGUGCUUAGAAUCUUGCGAUUGAUUAAACCCAUUUCUAUCAAAAAGUUAAGAAACUGGCUAGGACAAUAAGCAUACUUUUAAAUACAACAAUUUCUCCCUUUUCAUUCUUUUUCGAUGCUUGCGCGUUUUGCGCUGUUUGUAGCAGAUAGUUUUCUCCUACUUAAAACAAAGACGUGCAGUUCUCCUGGAUUUUCUAGUACAAAAAUAAUUUCAGCUCUCCCUCAGAAUUUUUAGAAACAUAAAAAACGUGAUCAUCUUGUAUGAAGUAGAUAUUUAUGACUAGCUAUAUAGACAGCUAGCGGCUGCGUGGAUUUUUUUUUUAUGUACUUGUAAUCUCCAUUUCAGUCAUUGGCAGUUUGGCACCAUUGCAUGCUGCAUCCUAGAACACAUAGUCAAAAUAAUCUCCUUUCAUUUCUGAUCUACUUGGCACGGGUUGGUUAUGCUUUUAAGGCAUUUGAGAGGAAGAACUCUCUAAAACAACUAAUGAAAUGGAUAUAGGUCAUCAGUUGAAACGGAGAUGUACUGGAUCGCUCAUGUAUGAUUAUCAUUCUACCAGAAGUCCAGAAGCCGACGCAAGAGUCAUUAUUAAUUAAGGCUUGACCUCUGCCUUCCCUGGCGAUCUCAGCAGAUAUUGCCGUUUUUUAAGCCCUUUUUACGAAAGAUUCUCACAAAUACAUCCCUAGCGGAACCAAUUCUAAAAAUAGACCCUUAGCUUGGCGCCAUCCACACUGGCGCCAAGCUUACACGUCUCGGCGCCAGCCAUCCUGGCGCCAAGAUCCAUGCGCAGCUGCUGACGUGGAUGCCGACGUGGCGGGGGUUUGGCGCCAUCCAUGAUGGCGCCAAAGCCUUGGCGCCGUGGAUCUUGGCGCCAAGCUUGGCGCCGUAGGCCUUGGCGCCGAGCAAUUUAUCCCAUACCUCCUGACGUUUCAAACGAAACAAGUAUAAUUAUUCCGAGGAGUGUGCAACAAACUACGCUCUAGUUCAACUGGUUAGGAUAUGGGCUUCUUACCCCAAAGAUCUGAGUUCAAACUAGAGCCUAAUGAUAGAUUAAUUAGGCUUAAUAGAUUCGUCUCGCCGUUUAGCCUCCACUUAUGUAAUGGGUUUUGUAAAUAGUCUACGUUUAGUACUUCUAAUUAGUGUCUAAACAUUCGAUGUGACACGUGCUAAAAAUAAACAAAGGGAACCAAACGCCCCCUUAGGGGAUGUUUGGAUACACCCUCAUAAACUUUAGUACCUAUUACAUCAAAUGUUUAGAUACUAAUUAGGAGUAUUAAAUAUAGUCUAAUUACAAAACUAAUUGCACAGAUGGAAUCUAAUUCACGAGACGAAUCUAUUAAGCCUAAUUAGUCCAUUACAGAGUUAAACAACUCUUUUAUUGGAAAGGCAUGAAAACAGAUGUUGACAACUUUGUGAAGCAACGUACCAUCUGUCAACAAGCAAAACAUGAGCACACUCAUCCAGGUGGUUUGCUUCAACCCUUCCUAUUCCUCAAGGUGCUUGGCAAGAUAUCUCAAUAGAUUUUAUAGAAGGCUUGCCACUGUCAGAAGGGUGCAAUGUCAUAUUAGUGGUGGUUGGCAGAUUCACCAAAUACAACCAUUUUAUCCCUCUCAAACACCCAUUUACUGCACAUGUAGUGGCUAAGGUGGUGCUUGACAAUGUGGUCAAAUUACAUAGGAUGCCAAGGAAAAUUGUAUGUGAUAGGGAUAAGAUCUUCACAAGUACUUUUUGGACAACACUAUUUAAAUUGGUGGAUACAAAGUUACUCAGAAGUUUAGCUUAUCAUCCUUACAUGGAUGGCUAGAUUGAAAGAGUGAAUCAAUGCCUUGAAAUGUAUCUUAGGUGUGUUGUUCAAGAUUCACCAAAACAGUGGAAAGCCUGGCUCUCUUUAGCUGAACUGUGGUACUAUUCUAAUUACCACAUUUCUUUGGACUGUUCUCCCUUCAAAGCUCUGUAUGGGUGUGAAGCAGAUAUGGGCACAUUUCUGCCUUAGGAAACUCAAGACAACAAUCUAGCUGUUGAGUUCCUCCAGAACGAGAACAUCAGCUAGCAUCUCUGAAAGAGCAUCCGGCUGCAGCUCAGAAUCGGUUCAAGCUUCAAGCCGACCGCCACCGAUAGAUAGAAGUUUUCAGGUGGGAGAGCAGGUCCUACUAAAGCUUCAACCACAUGUCCAACGAUAAGUGGUAACUAACCCUAUCCCAAGCUUGCCUUCAAAUACUUUGGCCCAUUUGUUGUAGAACAGAGAAUUGGACAAGCUACAUACAAGUUGAAGUUGCCAGAAGGAAGUCUCAUCCAUCCAGUGUUCCAUGUAUCACAACUCAAGCCGUUCACACACAACUAUACUCCUGUAUUCAAAGAACUACCUAAGUUAACUGAUUUAUCAAUCCAAGACUUGUCACCAGAAGCUGUGCUUGAGCGCCUUCUGGUCAAGAAAGGCUCCAGGGAAAUUCCUCAGGUUCUUGUUAAAUGGACUGGGCUUCCUACUACUUCUUCGACUUGGGAAGAUUUCUAUGUGAUCAAGAACAGAAAUCCAGACGCUGUUGCUCGGGGACAAGCAACCUCUGUAGCCGGGGGAGAUGUAAUGCCCGGCCGUGAAUGAGUAAGGCGCAGCACUGGGAAGAUAUCUUGAGUCGUAAGCAGAUGUGUUAGGUGUGCGUGUGUGGCGUGAAAGUGGACCCAGACUGUCAGCCUGUGUAAGCGCUUAAGUGUGUCAGAUGGGUAAUAGUGUAACCGUUGUUAUAUUUCUAAGCUUAAGUGUGUCGGAUGGGUAAUAGUGUAACCGUUGUUAUAUUUCUAAAUGAAUGAACUGGCUCUCGGGGUUCAGGGUUCCUCCCUCCCCAGCUACUUCCCAAUCUGUGUGUGACUCACGCCGCCGGCGAGCUGCCGACGGCCACGGGGGCAUUACACAACCCACCGGAGACAGCGGGAGUGAGGCCGACAAGGGAGAGGCAGACGGCAGCCGUGAUGAGGGAUAGCUUGGAGCCGGCUGCCAUGACCGAGCCGAGCAAGGGGCCGACGAUCUAGAGGAGUGGUCGAAUGGGAGACUUGGUAGCAGUGGAGGUGGAGGACCAGAGGCAGAGGCCGUUCGUUUGGACUUGGCUUGUGCAUGGGUCAAGCGACCCACCCAAUCAAUUCGUGUAGACCCAACCCAAUCCGGAAUCCAUGGGUUGGGUUGGAUUUUAGGCACACCCAUCUAUUGGUAUGCCCUGUUAGGUAGUUACGUGACCCAACUAGUUCUGAUAAUUAGUUUGGGUUUAUUGAUUUUAAUGGUUAGGGUUUUAUUUUGGAUUCAUUUUGGUUGGUUUACAAUGGGCUGGCCCAUCAGGUGGUCCGAUUUGAAUUGGAUUGCUAGAGCAAGCAGUUUGGAUGGUAACGGGAGUGUAUGGAUCGGUAUGAGUUUGAUAUGCCUUUCGGCCCACGGGUUACACAGGACCAAAGCAAUCUCGCUCGCAUCGCAUCGCAGCCAGCCAGCCACAGACGGGCAGACCAACCCAACCCUAGCCGCUGCGCCGAGGGGUCGAGGGCCUCGCCGCUCCUCCACCUGGACCUCCGCAGCCACCUCACCCAAAAUAGCACCAGGCCACGCCUCCCACCCGACCCGGCCUCCUCCACGGCCACCGCCGGCUGUCCGAGCUUUCCAAGAAGCCGGCGGCCAAAUUCUCCAAGAAGACGGCGAGGGCGCGAGGCUAGCCAGCGCUGAGCCGCCGCCUCUCCGCCUCCGUUCUCCAUCAAGGCGUCGCCACUCCGCCUCCCCGUCUAGGCGCUUCCCUCGGACACCUCGAUCUGCAGCGGGCACCUCCACCUUGGCCGCCUCCUCCGCACCCGCCCCGACGCCUCCACAUCGUCUUCCUCCUCGGCAGCCACUCUUGUGAGUUCGUCCCCCUUCAUUCUCUGGAAAACUUGUCAUCGUUUUUGUUCUGGAAGCAUUGCAGUCCAUACUCAGUCGGUGACAAAGGUUAUGGUACUGAAUCACAACAUGUUUUCCAAUAAAUACUUGGAUUUUGGGUUAGGAUGUUCUAAAUAAAUGAAACGAAGUAGGAAAAGUUUUUACUUAAUAAAUUUUGGGGUAUGGUCUCUUUGCAGUACAUGUGUGAUGUCUACUGCCUAAUUCUUUCUUGAUGAAGGAUUGCUCUGUAGUUUGAGCAAUCCUACUUCUGCCACUUGAUGGAGGAUUUGUACGUGAGUAUGUAUACUCUGAGCAUCUUUGUUCUGAGCAUUAAACGACACCGACUAACUUUCCCCGAAAUUUAUAUCAUAGCAAUCCAGUAUGCAUUGUGAUUUAAGAUUCCAGUUAAAUUCUGAAUUUCCAUAUUAGAAUGUAGAUUCAUUUCGGACAUCACCAUUAGCUACCACAGUAGAAUGGAUCAUUGAUGUUGCAUUGCUUGUUUAAUUUCUCUUACUCUUCUGUUUGAUUGGAGCUGUAUUGCAAAAUGAAUGUUGCAUUGCUUGUUUGAUUUUGUGAGGCAAAGAUAGCAUGUUUGAAUCGGUGAAUGGUUGUGCCAAUUCCUUGCACGAGAUGUGCCUUGUUCCCUGACUCUAGUUUGUUACCCAUUUAACCCAUCAAAUCCACCCAACCAACCCAUUAAUCAAUCACCCUUUUGACCCAUCUAACCCACCCAGAUCCAAUUAGCCAGUGGCUGCACCCAAAUCCGUCAUAAUCCACCAUGAACAGGGGACGGGACGGGGAAGGAAGGAGGAGAGAGAGAGAAGUCCCUCGUGAGGCGCAGGUCGGUUGGGCCGUGUGAAUUAUCGAUAGAUAGUGGGCCAGGCAGCUAGUCUCAAGAUAUGGGCCGGCCCAUAUCACCGGCCUGCGUAUCGGAUACGUAUCAUUAAGUAUUGGAGAAAAGAAUAAUUAAAAAAAUUGUUGAUACGUUCGCGGGUACGUAUUUGGACGAUUUCGAGAUACGGCCCAGCCCAACAUCCCGGCAGUCCCCAAGCCCGACCCCCUCGAGACGCAUUGCGCCGCCGCUCACCCGUACAGCGGCAACAAGAGCGCUGCCGCUCGCCGAUGACGGACCUCCACCAGACCACCACGCAUGUCCAGACAAAGGCAACUCCCAAUACGGCCCCUCAUUUGCCGCCACCAUCUAUCAGGGUCGGCAGCGCCAGAAAAACGCCGCCUCUGGCCCCCCAUUGCCUCAGUGUUCGCUGGCGAGUUGAACAAAAAGCGCGGGAGCAGUCCAGUAUACCUAGGGGCCAUCGUCGGCUCGCUUCUCAGCCGCUGCUUUUCUUUCCCAGUGACGCCGGGCGAGUGAGCGCAGCAACAAGGUGAGUUCAGUCUUCAGGCAGCCUGUGUUUGGGUUGUCCCUGAGCUCUGUUCGAGAUUGCGGCCUUUGCAGCGCAAGCAUGGAGGAUAGCAACGCCCUGAUUUUGCCCUGCAAGAGGAAGAACAAGGGGCAGGGGAAAGCCAAGGUAAUAUCAGCUUAACAUGGAGCCUGUUUAUUAGCUUUCCUUGACAGCUCCAUUGCAAAGCCAAUGUUAUGAACUUAUGAUGGUUCCUGUGUGAGCUCUGUAACCUCUGAAUUGCCAGGACGGAAAGAAAGCCAAGAAGGAGGACCCAAAGAUGAGCAAGACUAAGCUAAAAAAGCUGCAGAAAUUGGAGGUGCGCCUACUUACCCUUACCAAUUGGUUCCCUUUUUUCGCGUUGUUAUUUAGCAUUUACAGCUAUUUCUGGUUUGGCUGCGCCCAGGAGGAAAAGCGAAAGAAGCUGCUGCAGGCUCAAAGCAUUGAGAUUUUGCAGUACGCACCUUACCUUAUUCUGUACAGAAUGAGACAUGUUUAGUUAUUUACUAUGAUACCUUUUCUGAUGGUUUUAUACAACACUGAUCCCAUACAAUAGGAAGCACAAGAUCUCAGAAGAUGCAUAUUCACUUCUGCAUGCUUCAGGGACUAUUGGUCAAGUAUGGUGGACCAACCUAUGACCCUCAGAAUUUAGUUAUUUUAUCAAUAUACAGGUGCAUUUCAAAUUACUCUAUUAUGCAGGUUGAGACUUUGAAAGAAAAAUGCAGGCGUGCCAUGCAGUUGUCCAAGGCUGGUUUGGAUGUUCCGGAAGAACUCUCGCUAUUCAAGAGAAACGAUGAUCAGAAAUUCUCUGAAAACAGUGACCCUGUGGAGCACAUUUUGCCACCGAAGUUUGUUGAGCCUGUAAAAAGUGAGGAUCCUGGUAGGGUACAUGAGAAAAACAUGAAGAAUGAUUCAAGGAAAGCUAUGGAAUGCCAACCAAAGAUGGAUGUUGGAGUAAGCAUUCCAGAGCCCAAAACUGAGGAGCCUAGUGAUAAUGGCCACCUGUUGGCAAAUCAGAAAAUUCAGUCUUCAAUUCCAAGUUGCUCUGGAACAGAGCUAGAUUUGCAGGUGAUCAAUCUGCAUAUCUGCUAUGUUUAGCUCACCUUUAUGAUCAUCAGUAAUACUAUAAUGGUAACCUGUGUUGUAAUUAUUUUAGUAGUUAUUUGAUCAUAAUAAUUCUUUGUAUUGGCAGGAUAAAGAGCCAGGACAAGGGGAAGCUGCCAUGCAGGAGUGCAUAAAUCCUCCAAUUGUUGUGCCUGUGUCAAGACCGCAUGAGGUUGAGAAGGCAAGGAGAGAUCUCCCAAUAAUAAUGAUGGAGCAGGAAAUAAUGGAAGCUAUCUAUGAAAAUUCUAUAGUAAUCCUUUGUGGAGAAACAGGCUGCGGUAAAACUACUCAGGUCCCUCAGGUGAGUAUGUGCACACACACAUUGUACAUCUUGACAUGGUAUUAUCUGCUUGCGUUAACUGAUAAAUAGUUGCCAAAAUUGUCAUUUCUCCUUAUUUUAUUUGUAUUCUACAGUUCCUGUAUGAAGCUGGCUUUGGCACAAGUGAUCGAGCUGACAGAAGAGGGAUGAUUGGGAUCACCCAACCACGACGUGUCGCUGUUCUUGCCACAGCUAGGAGGGUGUCCUAUGAGUUAGGACUUAAGCUGGGGAGGGAAGUUGGUUUUCAAGUUCGGCAUGACAAAUUGGUGGGAAGUAAUUGCUCCAUCAAGUUCAUGACAGAUGGUAUUUUGCUGCGAGAGCUCCAGGUUGUUUAUCCGUCUUCUGUUAUUCUGUGGAUCUAUUUAUUUGGUAGAGAUAUUUUCUUCACUCAAGUUAUUGUUUAUCCUGGUAACUUAUGCCUAAGGAAAGCCUCUAAUAAAGAAAUGUAAUUGUAGCGAUGUGCUGCAGUUUUUGAGAUCAUAUCUUUAGUUUACUGCAAAAUUAUCGCAUCUGCUGGUCCAUAUAAACUAUUAUAGUAAGGUUUAUUCAUGCUACCAGUGGUUUACAUUGCCAACCAGUUAGUUGUUCCCUGAUUGUGUGAUCACUGAAUCAGUUGUCUUCCAUAAUUUAUGCAUACAAAUGAUGAUGAUUGGGAUCCUGAUAUGUAUACAUAGCAAUAUGUUGUAAUUGAAUACGAGUAAGACAUAAUCUGAAUCAUGCACACAAUCACCUGAUGUACUAAUCUUCUGCAGGGUGAUUUUCUGUUGAAGCGCUAUUCGGUGAUCAUAUUGGAUGAGGCACAUGAAAGGAGCUUGAACACAGAUAUACUUAUUGGGAUGCUUUCUAGAAUUAUUAAGGGUCGCAAGGUUGAAACUUAAAACUCUAUUUCAUUAUCCAAGAAAAAAAACCUUUAUUUCAUAUAAAUUAAAGUAAAAGUGCACUGCUAACCUUUGGCACUUGGCAGAAUUUAUAUGUAGAUCAGCAGGAUAAAAUACGAUCUGGAGUGAAAAUCAAGCCAGAAGAUAUGAUCAGUCAGUUGAAAGUGGUGCUCAUGAGUGCUACUCUACAAUUGAAGGACUUCAUUUCUAAUAGGAGAUUGUUUGAUGUAAUUCCACCAGCUGUUAAGGUACCUGUGCGGCAGUUUCCAGUAACAGUUCACUUCUCAAAGAGGACACAUGAUGAUUAUUUAGGGCAAGCUUAUAAAAAGGUUAUGUCAAUCCACAAGAGGCUUCCACCAGGUGGAAUCCUUGUAUUUGUCACUGGACAACGAGAAGUGGACUACUUGUGUAAGAAAUUCCGAAGAGCAUCCAAGGUGCAAACUGCUAAGAAGCCUGAAAAAGUUGAUGGCGAUGAUAAUGGCCCGUUCCCAGAAGUAGAUGAUAAGGAAAUUUUGGAAGCAUAUGAUAUUGAUAGGAACAAAUCUGAGCACCCAGAUGACAUAUUUUAUUCAUAUGAUGAUGAUGAUGAUAUGGAUCCUGGGCCAAAUUCUUUUUCUUCUGACAAUGAAACAGAAAGUGAAAUGGAUACUGAUACUGACGAUGAAGAGUCUGUUACAUAUGAAACCACAGAAGAGGAUGCUCCAGUAUUAUCAUUUUUGAAAGACGCUGAGAACUCAUCUGUGUUGAAGGCGUCAUUUGGAGCUCUGUCAGGAAUAUCAGGAGUGCCAGAAAGUGUUGAGAAAUCAAGUGAUGCUACAAGUGAAGAAAAGUCUAGUCCAUCUGUUAGUUGUUUCAGUAAAUGUACAGAACGUAUGCCUGUAUCGCAUGGUAGACUCCGUGUCUUGCCACUUUAUGCAAUGUUACCAGCUUCACAGCAGCUUCAAGUGUUUCAAGAUAUACCCAAGGGGGAAAGAUUAGUUGUGGUGGCAACUAAUGUCGCAGAAACCUCUUUAACAAUUCCCGGCAUACAAUAUGUAGUUGAUACUGGGAAAGAAAAGGUUAAGAAUUACGACCAUGCUACUGGCAUGUCAAGUUAUGAAGUCCAAUGGAUAAGCAAGGCAUCGGCAUCCCAGCGUGCUGGAAGAGCUGGAAGAACAGGGCCUGGGCACUGUUACCGUCUCUACUCAGCUGCAGCAUAUGGUAAAGACGAUUUAUUUCCUGAAUUCGCUGAACCUGAGAUUAAGAAAAUUCCAGUUGAAGGCAUUGUCCUUAUGCUCAAGUUUAUGGGUAUCCAUAAGGUACUGAGAUAAAAGGCUAAUUUCCACCAUAUAAUCGUCUAUUCUUAGAUUUUUUCCCCUUUUGUGUGCUAAUAUGAAACAUAUGGCAAAUUUCAGGUUGUGAACUUUCCUUUCCCUACACCUCCAAACAAGGAAAGUUUGGUUGAAGCUGAGCGUUGCUUAAAGGCAUUGGAAGCACUUUAUAGCCAUGAUGAUUAUGAUGGAAAACUUACACCAAUGGGAAAAGCUAUGGCACAAUACCCCAUGAGCCCACGACAUUCUCGUCUUCUUCUGACAGUGAUUAAGAUUUUGAAGAGCCAGCAAGGCUUUGCUAGAUCUAACUUCAUACUGGGAUAUGCUGCUGCUGCUGCAUCAGUGUUGAGUUUUACUAAUCCAUUUCUCAAGCAGUUGGAUGAAUGUGAUAUUAAUGGCGAAUCGGAAGAACAUAACACGAAUCCAGAAGCUAAUGAUCCAUGUGAAAGGAAAAGACGGAAGAAGCACAAUGCCAUGGUUAGAGAGGCACAGGAAAAAUUUUCUAACCCUAGCAGUGAUGCUUUAACCAUUGCCCGUGCCCUACAAUUUUUUGAGUUGUCAGAAAACCCUGUGGAAUUCUGCAGAAUUAAUUCACUUCAUCUCAAAACAAUGGAAGAGAUGUCAAAAUUGAGAAAGCAACUUCUCCGUUUAAUAUUUCACCACAGCAAAUUUUGCAAGGAAUUUGCUUGGAAUUAUGGAGAUUCUGAUGAUGUUGAGCAGGCCUGGAGGAAUGAGUCCAGUAAAAGACCAUUGCAAAUGAAUGAAGAGGAACUUCUUGGGCAAGGAAUCUGUGCUGGAUGGGCUGAUAGAGUUGCAAGGAGAAAUCACACCUAUUCCAGAGCAUCAGGAGAUGAUCGUAAAGUUCGAGCUAUUCGCUAUCAAUCUUGCGCGCUUAAUGAUACCAUAUAUCUGCACCGAUCAUCGUCUGUUGCCCAAGUUGCCCCAGAGCUUGUAGUUUACUCAGAGCUACUUAGUACAAAGAGGUUAUACAUGCAUGGUGUAACCACUAUAAAGCCAGGGUGGCUUUUAAAGUAUGCCGGUUCUCUCUGCACCUUCUCUGCACCAUUGGAAGAUCCAAAACCCUAUUAUGACCCCAUGAAUGACCAAGUCUAUUGUUAUGUUAGUCCGGUCUUUUCUCGACAUAAUUGGCAGCUUCCCUUGCAUAGUUUACCUAUCAAAGACAACACCAGUCGCCUGCAGGUAUUUGUGUGUGCUUUGCUUAAGGGGGAUGUCUUGCCAUGUCUAAGGAAUGCGAAAGAUUUCCUGGCACUGUCACCAUCUUUUGCCUUCGGGCCUGCCAGCCAAAGAAGAGUUGGAGAUCUUCUUGACAGGAUGCAUAUUAAACAAAAAUCAAAGAUUGGUAAAAAAUUAAUUGACAGCCGAGCAGCACUGAGAGAUGCAUGGAAUGCUGAUCCAAAUUUUCUCUAUCCUGAGAUAAAGGCGUGGUACCAGGAUAAAUUCCAUAGCCAGUUUGACUUAAAAUGGGAGCAGAUGCACCAAGAGGUUCUUCUUGAGGGGCAUGAGCUUUUCCCAAAGAGGUCCAAGAAAGUUAAAGGCUAGUCAAGAAGAUUACGGUGCAGUUGGUUAACUGAUAGAAGCUUCUUUGCCGUGGUGACAUUUUUUCAGGAUUUGCCCUUUAUAGGCUCAUCUAACAUCACCUUGGACUUGUAGCAGAAAAGAUACAAAAGAAGCAUUUGUCAUGGUAAUACACUGUAUGGUUGAGAACUAAGAUGGUGGCUAUCAAUCUCAUUAGCUCAUUUGGUGUGAAUUUUGUCAGGUCCAACUGAUAAGAAUCGAGUGUAGGGUACCUGAGUAUGGGUGGACAACGCAGAGGGUGUUCCAUUUCCUAAACUUCAUUGUUAACAGUGAUGAGUUCAUCAUAGUCCUUACCCACCUCGGUACACCUUAGUCACCUGGUUCAUGAUUUAUGGUGAACUUGUGUUUGUGUUUGCAGUAAGGUCAGCUGUGUUUGUUCUGUGACGGAAUGUGCAAGUUGUACAUCCUGAGGUUUGUGGAAGGAGGCUAUUUAUGUUUCCGUUCUGUCGGUUGAUUGGAAACAUAAUGUGUAACAAUACGGUCUUGUAGAUAUUUCAACAUGUGCUUAUUGAUUUGCCUGGCCUAGCAUUCUUCAUUGUUCGUAGUCAAGGAACUUGUUCAUAUAUUAUUUCCAGUGAUUUUGUCGCCAACAUUUUUUUCCCAAAUACGUAGGGGAGCUGCGUAGCAUCAUAUUAAAAAAGAAGAAAGUGUAGAAACCUUGAGUAUACACAAAACCACACCCUUAUGUCUUAGUGUACAUGCUGUUGUCAACAAUUUGUUGUUUAUCCAGAUUUCUAUGCGCUUGUAAUAUACCACAGCGUAUUAAGGAAAUGCUAUAGUUUAGCUUCACUGUCCAAACACGAGUGAUGUGAGUGGGGACUGAGGACUCCCCUUACUUUUUUGUUAAUCUGAUCUGGUACAUGCUUCAGUUGCUGCACUAAUGUCCUGUCCUGAUAACCUUAUAAAUAUUCAGUUCACUGCUUGUUAUGCUAUAGCUUCUCAAGUGGCACUUUUUUGUCUAGAAUAUUUCUCAAUAGCUUCUCGCUUCUCAUGUCUUUGGUGAUUUUUGGAAUGACUUGACUUGUAAAAUUUCAGAUUGUACUGUGGCUGCUCAUGUGGUGGAAACCAGUUCAAGCUGUGGUCAUUCUGUCAAAGUUGUUCUUUGCAGGUAAUGUCCUUGUUCCCUUUGGCUUCCCCUGCAGACUGCAGCACCAUGCAUGACGUAUAUAUUCUUACAUUCGUACGUAUUAGUCAUGAAAAUAUUCUUAGUUUCAUGAAAACAAUACCUGAUUAGCAAAUUCCAGAACUACAUUUUUAACCUUAGUUCCUUGUAUCAACUAUUUUAAAGCAAAUUGUAUUGCAGUCUAUGAUUUUAUACUGUGUAAUUAUUUACCUCUGCUACUAACAUGGAGCUAUUUUUCAGCUACAUCCUUAUUUGCUGCUUUUGGUUUCCUUCUCUACGGAGGGAGGUAAUAGCUUAUUGCUUGAUAUAUCAUGUUUCUUUAUCAGAUGAUUACUAUGCUAUUUGCCAUUGUCGAAACUAGAGAAUUUUUUGUUUGGUCUUAAGCAUUAUUAUGGUUACACUGCUACUGCUAUUGCAGAACACAGCACACUACAGCUCUUAUGUAAAAUGUGGACAUGCAAACACGCAUGGGCCUGUAGUUUUCUGUUAUCUUGUUCUGAUCCUUUUGAUAACAGAGGAGCUACUGAUAAUAAUUUGUAUAUCCUUGUGUAGGCUAUUCCUGAUGCUGCAGCGUUUCCAUGUUGAGUCAAAAGGUCGGCGGAAAAAGUUGAAUGAGGUACUUCACUAUCAUUAGUCUUUCACUGUAGAAAUUUCUAGAUGACUUGUAUGCUUAUAAUAUCACCUUUUACACAGGUUGGCUAUGUGACCACCAUAUGCUUUGGUUGCUUCUUGAUCAGAUGCAUAAUGGUAAACCCUAUGCAAUACCAACUUAAAUUCUGAAAUAAUUCCAAAACAUUUUGACAUAGUGUGUCUAUCUUACAGAUGUGCAUUAGUGCUUUUGACAAAGAAGCUGACCUUGAUGUUCUGAACCAUCCAAUCCUGAACUUCUUUUACUACUUGGUAUGUUUUUCACUCAAAUAAACUGUUAGUAUCUGCAGUUUUGGCCAUGCUAUUUUAGAUGACUUGGUAUUGCUUCACAGGUUUAGAUUUCACUUUCAUUUGAUUGAUUUUCAUUUUAGAUAUUGAUGUCUUCUUGGAGAUCUAUUUUAUAUGAUGAUAGGAGAUGGUUUUGUGAUGCAUAUAUAAUCCAACCAUAUAGACUUAGUAGCAUCGUUGGUGCAUAUAUGAACUUACUUUGUGAUAUCAUUUAUAUCUCUUAUGAUCAAUCGUUGCACUUGCUGAUAUUAUUUGCUGCUGGUGUUCACUGUCUUAUGCAGCUUGUUGAGAUUGUACCAUCGUCUUUGGUGCUGUUCAUCUUAAGGAAACUACCGCCAAAACGUGGGAUUGCACAGUACCAUCCAAUCCAUUAGUCAGUAACGUCGAUGGUCCAUUUCUAACAGUUCCGUCCAAUUGCUAAAGACAAAAAGGCAAAUGUGAGAUACCUUGUAGUACCUUUUGUAGGUUUAGUAGCUUUCUUGUGAAGAAGCGUUUACUGAGUAUGGCAAAUACGGCUUGUUAAAAAUGUAAACUCCUGCAGUCAUUGCAACCCCAAAUGUCACUAACACAACCUGUUUUACCAAUACGGGUUUCCAUCUGUAAACUUUAGAAGAGGCAAGGACUCUGAUUAUUUUUUCUGAUGGAGAAAAUGUGUGAUAAGAUUGGCUACUUCAGAAGAAGGGUAGCUGCUCAGGGAUUAUGUCCAACCCC